UAUAUCUUCAGCUGCUGAGGCGGCUGCUGGGCUGACUGGUGGCUUUGGCAAAAGAAAGAAUCUUACUGACCACUUCUUCGUGUUUGAACUUGGUUUAACAUCUGCUGCAACCCAUGAACGACAUGAUGCACAAACAUUGGCUAUCCCAAACAAAGAGGCAACUGUUGGGUUGACUGGUGGCUCUGGCAAAGAAAAGAAUCUUACUGACCACUUUUCCGUGUUUCAACUUGGUUUAACGUUUGGUGCACCCUAUGAACGACAUUAUCCACAGACAUUGGCUAUCCUCAACAAAG